CCUACGGGGGGCAGCAGUGAGGAAUAUUGGUCAAUGGUCGGGAGACUGAACCAGCCAAGCCGCGUGAGGGAUGAAGGUACAGAGUAUCGUAAACCUCUUUUGUCAGGGAACAAAGGCGGGGACGUGUCCCCGGAUGAGUGUACCUGAAGAAAAAGCAUAGGCUAACUCAGGGCCAGCAGCCGCGGUAAUACGGAGGAUGCGAGCGUUAUCCGGAUUUAUGGGGUUAAAAGGGUGCGCCGGCGGUCUGUUAAGUCAGCGGUAAAAGCCCGGGGCUCAACCCCGGCCCGCCGUUGAAACUGGCAGUCUCGAGUUGGAGAGAAGUAUGCGGAAUGCGCGGUGUAGCGGUGAAAUGCAUAGAUAUCGCGCAGAACUCCGAUUGCGAAGGCAGCAUGCCGGCUCCACACUGACGCUGAGGCACGAAAGCGUGGGUAUCGAACAGGAUUAGAUACCCGAGUAGUC
rnacentral:rRNA from 1 species